AAUGAACGCUGGCGGCAUGCCUAACACAUGCAAGUCGAACGAAGGCUUCGGCCUUAGUGGCGCACGGGUGCGUAACGCGUGGGAAUCUGCCCUCAGGUUCGGAAUAACAGCGAGAAAUUGCUGCUAAUACCGGAUGAUAUCGCGAGAUCAAAGAUUUAUCGCCUGAGGAUGAGCCCGCGUAGGAUUAGCUAGUUGGUGUGGUAAAGGCGCACCAAGGCGACGAUCCUUAGCUGGUCUGAGAGGAUGAUCAGCCACACUGGGACUGAGACACGGCCCAGACUCCUACGGGAGGCAGCAGUGGGAAUAUUGGACAAUGGGCGAAAGCCUGAUCCAGCAAUGCCGCGUGAGUGAUGAAGGCCUUAGGGUUGUAAAGCUCUUUUACCCGGGAUGAUAAUGACAGUACCGGGAGAAUAAGCUCCGGCCAACUCCGUGCCAGCCGCCGCAGUAA
rnacentral:rRNA from 1 species